CUGCAAUGAUGUGAGAAUUUCUUCACCUGAAAUCAAUACCUGAAGAUAACAAUCGAGCUUUUUAAAACUGAGCGGA
rfam:Strongylocentrotus purpuratus Contig140383_fixed, whole genome shotgun sequence.